GACGAACGCUGGCGGCGUGCCUAAUACAUGCAAGUCGAGCGAAGUUUUUCUGGUGCUUGCACUAGAAAAACUUAGCGGCGAACGGGUGAGUAGCACGUAAAGAACCUGCCUCAUAGACUGGGACAACUAUUGGAAACGAUAGCUAAUACCGGAUAACAGUAUUUCUCGCAUGAGAGAUAUUUAAAGGUUGGUUAUGCUAACACUAUGAGAUGGCUUUGCGGUGCAUUAGCUAGUUGGUGGGGUAAAGGCCCACCAAGGCGACGAUGCAUAGCCGACCUGAGAGGGUGAUCGGCCACACUGGGACUGAGACACGGCCCAGACUCCUACGGGAGGCAGCAGUAGGGAAUCUUCCGCAAUGGGCGAAAGCCUGACGGAGCAACGCCGCGUGAGUGAAGAAGGAUUUCGGUUCGUAAAGCUCUGUUGUUAGGGAAGAAUGGAUAUGUAGUAACUAUACAUGUAAGAGACGGUACCUAACCAGAAAGCCACGGCUAACUACGUG
rnacentral:rRNA from 1 species